ACCCCUGAUCUAAGUCAACCAACAGCCAGUCAAAGUGGAUGAUCCAACAAGAUCACAAUGACCUUGCUUCUGUUACAAUUCCUCAUCCUGAAGACUCUCUUACCUGAGUCACAAACCAUGCAUGAGCUGCAGACUGUGACCUUGUUUCCUGAUUAGAUGCUCCCACUCUCUGCCUUAUCACAAAUGUGACAUUGAUAGAUGGCUGUAAGUAG